rnacentral:rRNA from 1 species
UACGGGGGGGGCAAGCGUUGUUCGGAAUUACUGGGCGUAAAGGGCUCGUAGGCGGCCAACUAAGUCGGACGUGAAAUCCCCAGGCUCAACCUGGGAACUGCGUCCGAUACUGGAUGGCUUGAAUUCGGGAGAGGGAUGCAGAAUUCCAGGUGUAGCGGUGAAAUGCGUAGAUAUCUGGAGGAAUACCGGUGGCGAAGGCGGCAUCCUGGACCGAUACUGACGCUGAGGAGCGAAAGCCAGGGGAGCAAACGGG